UUGCAUAGAUAAGAAGCUAAUAGAUGAGCAAUUAAAGCAUUGUCCAAUAUGCAAUGCUGACUUGGGUUGUUCUCCACUUGAUAAAUUAAGCUUGGACACUAAGGAGGCUGAAAUACUGGUAGUUUCUUUGGCAAAGUGCUUUAUAGGUUUGGAAUCUCGGGCAUGUUCUUAAGGUUGUGUAGUUUAUAGAAUAUUUUUUCAUUCUUGGAUCUGGAUUGUAUAUUUGAGACUUUUAUGUAAUUAGAUGAUAUUGAAAUAUUGAAAUUAUUUUAUUUUACUUUUUAAAGAAAAACAGUAAUAGUUAUGUAAAACAAUACAAUAUGCAAUUAUGUUUGGAACUAUUGA